rnacentral:rRNA from 1 species
GGUUAAGCUACUAAGAGCGCACGGUGGAUACCUUGGCGUCAGCAGCCGAUGAAGGACGCAAUAAACUGCGAAAUUCCACGGGGAGUCGUUAUAGACUAAGAUCCGUGGGUCUCCGAAUGGGGCAACCCCGCUGAGUAAUGUCAGCGACGCACAUCUGAAUACAUAGGGUGUGACGAGGUAAGCUCGGGAACUGAAACAUCUUAGUACCGAGAGGAAAAUAAAACAAAACAGUGAUUCCCUAAGUAGCGGCGAGUGAACGGGGAACAGCCCAAACCAGUAGGACGUAAGUCUUAUUGGGGUUGCGGGACUCUAUAAAGAAUUGAAGAAAGUUAGUUGAAGAGCUCUGGAAAGGGCUACCAAAGACGGUGACAGUCCGGUAGACGAAAACUUUCGACAUCUGGGAGUAUCCCAAGUAGUACGGGACACGAGAAAUCUUGUACGAAUCUGCCAGGACCAUCUGGUAAGGCUAAAUACUGACUGACGACCGAUAGUGAACAAGUACCGCGAGGGAAAGGUGAAAAGAACCCGUGAGAGGGAGUGAAAUAGAACAUGAAACCGUGUGCUUACAAGCAAUUGGAGCCCUAUUUAUAGGGUGACAGUGUGCCUGUUGAAGAAUGAGCCGGCGAGUUACCGUAUGUAGUUGGUUAAGCAGUUAAUAUGCGAAGCCAUAGCGAAAGCGAGUCUGAUAAGGGCGUUGAUAAUUACAUGUGGUAGACCCGAACCCGGGUGAUCUAGGCAUGGCCAGGAUGAAGCGCAAGUAACAUUGCGUAGAGGUCCGAACCAACUGAUGUUGAAAAAUCAGUGGAUGAGCUGUGUUUAGGGGUGAAAUGCCAAUCGAACCCGGAGCUAGCUGGUUCUCCCCGAAAGGCGUUGAGGCACCGCGUCAGAUUUAACCUACAGGGGGUAGAGCACUAGUUCGGUGCGGGCGGAGAAAAUCCGUACCAAAUCGAGUUAAACUCCGAAUACCUGUAGCGUCAUUA